GUGCUCACUUGGGCAGCAUAGAUACUAGUACUAAAAUUGGAACAAUACAGUGAAGAUUAGCAUGGCCCCU
ensembl:snRNA U6 U6 spliceosomal RNA